rnacentral:tRNA from 1 species
AGCAGCGUAGCUCAGUGGAAAGAGCACGGGCUUUGAAGUCAGAGGUCAUGAGUUCAAAUCCCAGCUCUGCCA